rnacentral:rRNA from 1 species
UACGUAGGGUGCGAGCGUUGUCCGGAUUUAUUGGGCGUAAAGAGCGUGUAGGCGGUUCGGUAGGUCCGUUGUGAAAACUCGAGGCUCAACCUCGAGAGGUCGGUGGAAACCGUCUGGCUAGAGUCCGGAAGAGGAGAGUGGAAUUCCCCGGUGUAGCGGUGAAAUGCGCAGAUAUCGGGAAGAACACCCGUGGCGAAGGCGGCUCUCUGGGACGGUACUGACGGCUGAGACGCGAAAAGCGUGGGGAGCGAACAGGG